UGCAAGAAUAUUUCCCAAUGGGCCUUCAUUC
rnacentral:piRNA from 1 species